UCCACGCAAGCUCCAGACGCCGACUGAGCGAGUGGGUUUGGUUACGGCGGAGCGGGGGAUAGUCCCAUUGGUUUGCCACGAUCUGAAUGGGCGUGACUCCAGCAGGCAUAAGCCCCGCCCACUUCUUAAACCGAGGUGCUGUUGGCCAUCAAGGGAGAAGAAAAGGAGAAAAAAUGGAGGAGGAAAGACAAGAGAAGGAGGAGGAGGCUAAGAGGGCAGCUAAUAUUUUAAGAUAAUCCUCUUGACCUGUUCUCUUCCUCUUAUGUAAACUCAGGGCUGUUCGCUUGCAGCUAUUGCCGCACACACUGACAGGAGGGGCGCUCUUCUGCAACCAGACAUAAAUACAAUCAUCGCGCCACGCAAAAUCCCAGAAGUGUCCCUUUUUUUCCUCUGUUUUUGCAGAACAUAUAUUUAAGAGAAAAAUACAUCAGCUACCAGACGAGGAGGGAUGGGAAGGGUCAGCCCAGAGGUCAGCGGACAUGGUUGUUUUCACACCCACUUUACGGCCGUGUCUGCAUUCCUGUCCUGUAUGAGAGCAGUUCAGGAGUGUGACUGAAAAAUUGCCAAGAUGAGCCUGCGCUUUUAGAUUCUUCACGGGGCCUUUACGUAUCUCCACCACGGGAGAUGAGUGAUGAAAAUGGAAGGAACAUUGCAUGCUGGCAGACCUGAGGAAGAGUAAUCUGCUGCUGAAUUACAGACAUUGACAAAGGAGAGAUUUCAGACAGUCUCCCUGAGCCUGUAAAACAAUGGCACAUCAGACAUGCCACGUCAAGUCAUGUUUCUUCUGUUAUUAAGCAGAAUCAGCUGUAGCUUCCCCUCCUAAAGACUCUGUGGGUCCUGUAAACCAUGUGUGACAGUCAGUUCAAAAGUCUUUGCCCUAAAAGGAAUAUAUAUUUGUGAAACCAUGUGGGGUUUUGCCCAUUCAAGGGUCUGCUAUGGCAGACCAGCACUAGCUAGAUGAAGGAGAUGAGAAAAUGGAGAGGGACAGAGAAUGAGGCAAUAUAUAUGGAAGAUGUGGACACAGUUUGAUUCUGAGAGAACAGAUCCUCUUUGAUAGUCUCACAUCAUAAAUUAAACAUGUGCAUCUUAAUAACACUGGAUGAGAAAAAGAACUGCAUCCUGAGUGGGGUCUCUGGUGCUUUCUGAAGUCAUGGUGACUCACAAGGUCCACCUCUCACAAGGGCAGAGCUCAUGAUUGCAACAAGGCCUGCUUCCGCAUACCGCGGCUGUGGCUGAAUAACAGAAGACAGAUUUAAGAGGGAUUGAGAAGUCAUUGUUUUGGUCAAGCUGAUAACACCUUAGGGUUAUACAAAGAGGAAGGGCAAAUAAAGGAACAAAAACAUGUCAAAAGCAAGAAUGUGUCCAUAAAAAAUCACUGCAAGUUCCUAUUUUGUUCAAAUUCUAAUUGACAGUGAAAAGUUGUUUUGGGUUAAAAAACAAAUUUAUUCAUGCAAAUUGUCAACCUGCCCACAUUUAAUGUUUUCAUUCCAACAAAUAUGUUGCUUUUGUUUGUGAAAUUAGCUUUUGUUGUAACCAUGCAUGUAUUACAGUAGCAGGUUUCUAGUGUUUUGGGGAAUGUCUCCACAAUCUUCUGAUAUCUACGUACUAAAAUGUUGACAUUUGUUUUGCAAAAUCAUUUACUUAUUACAACAGUGUUUGUAAACCUCAGUUUCAAAGUCUUGUCACAGAUUGUCAACUGGGUUGACGAGGUCAUUCAAACACAUUAUCAUAUUUUGAUCUAACCAUUCCACUGUGGAUUUGGGUGCAUGCAGUUGUUGCCCUGCCUGAAGUUGAACUUUAGUUUUAAUUGGAAAUUUUGUGCAACUAAUAAGUUUUCCUUUCUGUUUUUUCUAAAUUGAUUUCUAUUGAGCUCCAUCCAUCUUCUAAUCUGGUCAUCUCUGAGCCUUUCACUGCUGAACAAAAUUAUUGUCACUGGCACCACAAUGACAUUGUUCUAUGUUUUAUAUGUAGGACAGACAUAUUCUGUGCAGAGGACCUUCUUCAACAAAUCCAAAUACAACUUCCUGUGACUUUCUUUCAGUAAUGGCUUUUUUGUUGCCAAGCUUCCAUUAGGAUCAGAUAGGUGGAGUUUCUGACUAAUAAUUGUCCUUUUAAAAGUCUCACUACAGCUAUAAACUUCAGGAGCUCCAACAAAUCUACCAUGGGCUAAUCCCUCUGAUUAUUGUUUGCCUUUGCCUGAAUUGGUUUGACAGCUAUGUCUUAGUAGGUUUGCAACUGUGACAUAAUCUUUCCAUAUUCAGUUGAUGGACUGAACAGUGAUCUGGAAUAUGUUCAAAACUUUAAAUAUUUUUGUAUUUUUAUAUCCCAAAGCUGCUUGAAACCGCUACAUAAUUUUAAGUCUGAUCAGUCAGGUUUGUUUGUUAAUAUUCAUGAUUCUGUUUGUUUACUAAUGUUCUCUUCUCUGAGGCAUUCACAAAACAAUUGUA